GAUGAACGCUGGCGGCGUGCCUAAUACAUGCAAGUCGAGCGAACAGACGAGGAGCUUGCUCCUCUGACGUUAGCGGCGGACGGGUGAGUAACACGUGGAUAACCUACCUAUAAGACUGGGAUAACUUCGGGAAACCGGAGCUAAUACCGGAUAAUAUAUUGAACCGCAUGGUUCAAUAGUGAAAGACGGUUUUGCUGUCACUUAUAGAUGGAUCCGCGCCGCAUUAGCUAGUUGGUAAGGUAACGGCUUACCAAGGCAACGAUGCGUAGCCGAACUGAUAGGGUGGUCGGCCACACUGGAACUUAGACACGGUCCAGACUCCUACGGUAGGCAGCAGUAGGGAAUCUUCCGCAAUAGGCGAAAGCUUGACGGAGCAACGCCGCGUGAGUGAUGGAGGUCUUCGGAUCGUAAAACUCUGUUAUGAGGGAAGAACAAAUGUGUAAGUAACUAUGCACGUCUUGACGGUACCUAAUCAGAAAGCCACGGCUAACUACGUG
rnacentral:rRNA from 1 species